rnacentral:SRP_RNA from 4 species
UUAUUGGUUCCUCGCAACAGUGUUCAGCUUACUUAGUCAGGUUCGGAAGAAAGCAGCUUGGGUUGAAAUUUCUGUGUGCCGAGGGUUGCUGGUAACGC